rnacentral:rRNA from 1 species
AACGAACGCUGGCGGCAUGCCUAACACAUGCAAGUCGAACGAGACCUUCGGGUCUAGUGGCGCACGGGUGCGUAACGCGUGGGAACCUGCCCUUAGGUUCGGAAUAACUCCCCGAAAGGGGUGCUAAUACCGGAUAAUGUCUUCGGACCAAAGAUUUAUCGCCUUUGGAUGGGCCCGCGUUGGAUUAGCUAGUUGGUAGGGUAAAAGCCUACCAAGGCGACGAUCCAUAGCUGGUCUGAGAGGAUGAUCAGCCACACUGGGACUGAGACACGGCCCAGACUCCUACGGGAAGCAGCAGUGGGGAAUAUUGGACAAUGGGCGAAAGCCUGAUCCAGCAAUGCCGCGUGAGUGAUGAGGGCCUUAGGGUUGUAAAGCUCUUUUACCCGGGAUGAUAAUGACAGUACCGGGAGAAUAAGCGCCGGCUAACUCCGUG